rnacentral:rRNA from 1 species
CGUAACACGUGAGCAACCUUCCGAAAUAUGGGGGAUAGCCGGCCUAACGGCCGAGUAAUACCGCAUACGCUCUCGAUGAGGCAUUUCAUUGAGAGGAAACCUCCGGGGUAUUUCGAGGGGCUCGCGGCCUAUCAGCUAGUUGGCGAGGUAACGGCUCACCAAGGCAACGACGGGUAGCUGGUCUGAGAGGAUGGUCAGCCGGACUGGGACUGCGAUACGGCCCAG